GACGUCAAGUCCUCAUGGCCCUUACGGGUAGGGCUUCACACGUGCUACAAUGGUCGGUACAAAGGGUUGCGAAGUCGCGAGGCGGAGCCAAUCCCAAAAAGCCAAUCUCAGUUCGGAUUGGAGUCUGCAACUCGACUCCAUGAAGUCGGAAUCGCUAGUAAUCGCGUAACAGCAUGACGCGGUGAAUACGUUCCCGGGCCUUGUACACACCGCCCGUCACACCAUGGGAGUUGAUUGGACCAGAAGUCGUCGAGCCAACCUUCGGGAAGCAGGCGCCCAAGGUCUGAUGAGCGACUGGGGUGAAGUCG
rnacentral:rRNA from 14 species